GGACUUUUAACUUGUUAACGGGUCAGG
rnacentral:piRNA from 1 species